AUUGAACGCUGGCGGCAGGCCUAACACAUGCAAGUCGAACGCGUGGCGGACGGGUGAGUAAUGUAUGGGAAACCCCCCGAUGGAGGGGUAUACCCACUGGAAACUGUAGCUAAUACCGCAUACCAUCGGAUGUGCCCAGAUGGGAUUGGCUAGUAGGUGGGGUAAAGGCUCACCUAGGCGACGAUCCCUAGCUGGUCUGAGAGGAUGACCAGACACACUGGAACGGAGACACGGUCCAGACUCCUACGUGAGGCAGCAGUGGUGAAUAUUGCACAAUGGGCGCAAGCCUGAUGCAGCCAUGCCGCGUGUAUGAAGAAGGCCUUCGGGUUGUAAAGUACUUUCAGCGAGGAGGCGUUACUCGCAGAAGAAGCAUCGGCUAACUCCGUGCCAGCAGCCGCGGUAAUAC
rnacentral:rRNA from 1 species